CGGGGCGUAGCGCAGCCUGGUAGCGCACCUGCUUUGGGAGCAGGGGGUCGGAGGUUCAAAUCCUCUCGCCCCGACCG
rnacentral:tRNA from 1 species